rnacentral:lncRNA from 1 species
CCCAGCUAAACCGAGAACCCAGACCAGCUCUGCAGAUGCAAAGGGGCCCAGAGCCUCACUUCCGUCACCCUCGUCGGAAGGGUGUCCUCCCCCAGACGCCUCAGCUCUAAGAGCUGAGCCAGAGCAGGGCCCCCGGCGCCUCCCAAAGCCAGCCCUGCCCUCCACGGAGCCGCCUGCUAUGCCCAGCUCAGGGGCGAGUGGACAGGCCUGGCUGCAGUGCGCUCCGAGUGACAGAAGCUGCCAGCCGUUCACGGGGAUUGCUGGGAUGCUGAGCAUUGCUGGGGUUCACACGAUGGCGGAUUCCAGCAUUAUCGUCUCUGAACUCUCAUGUGGAUGGAAAUACUUGCAGCCCUGCUCCUGCCAUCAGAGUCGAAGAGGAGCAGAAGAUGAAGUUGGAGAUAUGGUCCUUCUAUAUGACUCCUUAAAGACCUUGACAGCAAGCAAGUCCAGGAAAGAGGACACCCAGGGUGCACCAGGCACCAUGCCAGGCACUGUACGCAGGAGGCCCAAGAACCUCAGGAGACUCUCAUCAGCCUGUCCAUCGCUGCUGUCGGGCCACAGAGGUUUCCUUGAUGCUCCAGUUGCUUAAUUCACCCGGUGAGCCAGCCAUUCCUGAUGUCCAAUAGAAGUGAGCUACACUCGUCAUUCUCUCUCAGAUGAGGGCACGAUAGCAAAAUUUACACCUAAUCCUCUCUCGUUACCUGUGGAUGGCCAGUGCCCGGAGAUUCCUGGCUUUGAGACUUCGUUAUGUAUUAGUCACUGUUAGAAAGCAGUUUUUCUGACACUUUCAGUAAUAAAUCCCUUUGAUAUGAUCUAUGGUAGCUCUGCCUCAUAGCAAGUUCCAGGCCAAAGCAAGUAAUGGAAUAGCAAACUGCUUUGGAGGCAGGCAGACCUGGUUUGAAUCCUGGUUCUGUCACUAUGGUUUUACCUCACUUAAUCUUUCUGACACUCAGUUUCUUCAUCUGUAAAAUGGGGAAAAGCAUAUGAGGGCAGAACCUGGUUGCCCAUCCAACAGCCAUUUCCCUCUUCAUCCUUGCUAACAACAGUGACGACAACGAAAAAUCCUGAUUUUGUUCCAGUCCCGAAGUGCGAAAUCCCAGCAGAUGCGCUGCGUUGAUCUAAAUCCUGCAUUCCUGUUGUCAGUGACUGGUUUACAGGGUCUACAGGAAAGCGUGUGACCUAAUUCUGGCCAAGGAUGCUGAAGAGGAAACCUGCCAGAAGCUUCUGAGAAAGAUUUUCCUCUCUGAUAAGAGAGACCCUUGAAGAGAAGGCCCAUCUGCCUUCAUCCACUGGCUCCCUGACCCACGCUGUUUGGUGCUGUGGCAGCCGUCUCUUGAACAUGAGGGGAACCAUCAGUGACACACUAAAGAUGGCAGAGCAGAAGGACCGAAAGAGCCUAGGGCCUUGGGGACAACACUGAUCUAUUGAACCAACCUUGGUCCACCUAUCUCCAGAUUUCUUGUUAACAAUGUCUUUAUGGUUUAACCUAUUGUGUAUUGAGUUUUGUGUUGCUUGCAGUCAAAAACAAUCCUAACUGACACAAAU